rnacentral:lncRNA from 1 species
ACACGAACCUCAUAUCAUUUCUACGAACAAUUACAAACCAUUCAUUUAAAGCUAAUUUAGACAGAAGUCAUAGUAAACUAAAAAACAAAUCAAAAACAAAAAUGGAAUAUUGCUCAUGCUUCAAAUCUUCAAAUUGAUUCAUUCCUCAAGUUUUUACUUCACAAUCAACAGGUUUACAAAGUUGUGUACCUGGGAAAGUAAAAUAAAACGAAGGGACGAAAUCAGCAAAGCAGAAUAGUGUCAGCAGAUACAGCAGUAGAAAUCAACAAAAUCAACUUAAACUAGGAGUAUGGAAGCAGUAUAUACAGCCUAACUCGAGCCAAUACCAAAAAUGAGGUUCAAACCAAACCUUAAAAACCCAGUUUCAAUCCAUUCUAGACUAUAUGAACCAGAAAAACCUUUUCAAGAAGAAGAACUUAAGAAAACACCAAAGAAUUUCAAUGAAACAAUGAAUUUUCCUCAGUUUUAUCCGCCUUCUUUUUCUCUGUUUUUUAGAUCUCUUUUUUUUGGGGCUCC